rnacentral:rRNA from 1 species
UACGUAGGUGGCGAGCGUUGUUCGGAUUUAUUGGGCGUAAAGGGUCCGCAGGAGGUUUGUUAAAAUUGGGGUGAAAUCCCGGAGCUCAACUCCGGAACUGCCUUGAUGACUGACGAACUAGAGUGCUGGAGAGGUAAGCGGAAUACCAGGUGUAGCGGUGGAAUGCGUAGAUAUCUGGUAGAACACCGAAAGCGAAGGCAGCUUACUGGACAGCAACUGACUCUCAGGGACGAAAGCGUGGGGAGCAAACAGG